rfam:Geobacteraceae bacterium GWC2_53_11 gwc2_scaffold_1611, whole genome shotgun sequence.
CGCGGCACCGUAAAGGUAGCCGUGAUGGAGCAGAAGUCAGCAAAAGCCAUAGUAGGCGUCGGACGCCGUCCCCUUGCGAUUGGACGGCUGGAAACAAGCCCGGCACAGAGAGCCGGGAAGCCUUACCCCGCCGAAGGGC